rnacentral:rRNA from 1 species
GUGCCAGCAGCCGCGGUAAGACGAACCGUGCGAACGUUGUUCGGAAUCACUGGGCUUAAAGGGCGCGUAGGCGGCUCGCGAGGUCGGGGGUGAAAUCCCACGGCUUAACCGUGGAAGGGCCUUCGAUACCGGCGGGCUGGAGGAAGGUAGGGGUGCGCGGAACUUCUGGUGGAGCGGUGAAAUGCGUUGAUAUCAGAAGGAACGCCGGCGGCGAAAGCGGCGCACUGGACCUUUUCUGACGCUGAGGCGCGAAAGCCAGGGGAGCAAACGGGAUUAGAUACCCCAGUAGUCC